AACGAACGCUGGCGGCAGGCUUAACACAUGCAAGUCGAACGCGUGUAGCAAUACACGAGUGGCGCACGGGUGAGUAACGCGUGGAUAUCUGCCUUUUGGUUCGGAAUAACCCCGGGAAACUGGGGCUAAUACCGGAUGGGUUCCUUCGGGAUAAAGAUUUAUCGCCAAAAGAUGAGUCCGCGUACGAUUAGCUAGUUGGUGAGGUAAUAGCUCACCAAGGCGACGAUCGUUAGCUGGUCNGAGAGGACGAUCAGCCACACUGGGACUGAGACACGGCCCAGACUCCUACGGGAGGCAGCAGUGGGGAAUAUUGGACAAUGGGGGCAACCCUGAUCCAGCCAUGCCGCGUGAGUGAUGAAGGCC
rnacentral:rRNA from 1 species